AUAGUAUGCGUCCGCCCCCGGAGACGAUAAUGUAUACAGAUUUUAAACGGUUCGUUUGAAAUAACCAGCCGAGCCGAGUUUAACUCAUUUUGUAACAAACUGAAUUUUUAGCUUUUUUUUUGGCGAGACGAGACAAGCCGCCGGCCUGGGUUCUUUUGGCUACCUCUACAUGCAACUCAGAACUGAUUUCUUAUAAAAUCGUUUUAAUACGAGCGCUCAGAACUUGUAUCAGACAAGGGGUUAAAAAGAGUAUUCGGAUUUGGAGCUCACCAUUAAAUCAAGGGGCACCAGCCUCUCUAGAGCAACACCGAGAAAUCAAUCGAAAAAACUUACCGGAAGAAAACACCGCUCCAUCGUGAAACACACCGCCUCUCUCUGGGUCUUCAAGGACAGCGAGAUGGUCCAAACGCCACAUCUCCUCCGUCCCCGGCGUCUACAAGAUCUUUCAUGAGAUUCUCGUCAAUUCGGUUGAUAACAAGCACCGAGGCUCCAAAAUGGACUCGAUUAAGGUCGUCAUCAAUGUCGACAACACUUGAAUUUAAUUACUGUGUAUAAUAAUGGCUAUGGCGUCCCUGUGGUGAUCCACAAGGAGGAGCAGGGUGUAUGUGCCUGAAUUGAUCUUCGGACACUUGUUGACCGGUGGUAAUUAUGAUGAAAAUGAGAAGAAGACCCCGGGGAGGAAUGGCUAUGGAGCUAAGCUGGCCAAUAUUUCCUCCACGGAGUUUGUUAUCGAGGCGGCGGAAGAGGUUGAAGAAGUAUAAGCAGGGCUUUUGUGUUGAUUAAUUAGGGUUCAUUCAUUCUGGCCAUUAUUGCUAAAAGUUCCUGAUUUCAUGAUAGAAUUUUUAACCCCAAUUGUGAAGGUUUGCAGUUUACGCUGAAACUAGAUAACAACCAUGUUUACGUAUUAAUUACCAAAUUUGUGAACGAUUUUUACGAUUCCCCCUGGACAGGCUACCGAAAAACAAGACUUUUUCAUUUUUGUUAGCCUGUACAGGAGAAUCGUGGAACACAUAUUCAUAAUUAAUCAAGAUGGAGAAAAUCGUUCAAAAAUUUGGCAAUUAAUACGUAAAUAUGGUUGUUUAUCCUGUUUGCUAACCUUCAAAAUUGGUGUUAUGAAUUCUAUGAUGAAAAUUAGAAGGAAAGAUUGGGGGAUGCUCCACUUGGCUGGACAAUAAAAUACUACAAGGUUUGUUUCUUUUACAAUGCAUGUACGGUAUUGCUAUUGUACCAGGGGCUGGGAACUAGCGAUACAGCUGAAUCAAAUCAAUAUUUUAAGGACCUUGGAAAACACGGGAAGGAUUUUAUAUGGGUUGAUGGUGAUGCAAUUUUGCUUGCCUUUGGUAAGAAAAAGAUUGAGGCAGGAAAGAAUUGGUUAAGGCAGUUUAAGGUUAGGUCUACAAUUUUAUAAGUGAUUUGUGAUCUUUUAUGAUGAUCAUUAUAUUAGCUCCUUCAUAUUUUCCUGUUCCAGCUUGGUACUUUCUUGGAUCAGAAUGAGAAGCGCGAUCGAAUAUUUACUGGAAAUUCUUUUAGUCACUUCUUGUUUACUGAUUAUGAACUUCUUUAGAAGAAAAUGUUCAAGAAGUAGCGAAUCCCAAAGGCAAAGCUGGACCAAAAAAAGCUCCUGCUAAAAAGUGUGCUGAGAUCUUUUCCUUUCGCCAUUGAAAGCGGGUUAUUGGAUGAUUGUCGACUGCACUAGCCUUGUGUUUUCUGUAGCAAAACUCAAUCUGUGAGAAGAACGACACAAGGCAUGCCAAUCACACUUUGUGACAUUAAUGUAAGCAUGGUUUAUGCGAAUAAUGUACAAUGGUAGGAAAUUGUUGGAAUGUUCAUUGCAUUAUGUCUCUUUUGUUUGAAAGCUCAAACUUGACAAUUCAAGUUAGUUGAACUUUGUGGAACCUUAAUUGCUGACUCUGAAUCUAAUAGGGUUUUUGCUUGAAGAAGGAUCUCUGCUUUGAUAUCCUUCAAAUUUCGGAGGAGAAGCAAGAUCUAGCGAAGGUGCAAAAACUGUGACAUAGGUAAUGCAAUCUCUGUUUCAUUUUUAUUACUGUUACCAAAUUUGUUCAUGCUCAUCUGACUUUAUUUUACCGGUCUGGAAUAGUCGUGGGACUAAAAAUAAACGACCUUGGCUGUCUACGAUCAAUGUUGACCGAGCCUGUACAAAAUAAUAUAAUAAUAAAAUCCAAGUAUCCUGUUUGGAGCAUCAAUUAGGGAUAUAGGCACACCUAAUUCAAGUAAGGUGCAUAUACUUUCUUUGUUUAAAAUUAUUACAGUGACCAUAUAAUGCAGUAAUCAAGCUAGAAUAGAUAUCUGUAGCGGAAAACGUUGGUUUCGUACAUGCUGAUCUACUGAAAUCAGUUUUUUUUUCCAGCAGAACUGGAUAUACAAAAGACUUGGUGCUGAUUAUCCCCUAAAAUAUGAAAGUUAGAAGAAGUUAUUUUUUAGGCCAAGUGGCCAACGGAGCUAAUAGAAGGAUCAACUGUAAUCAUUAUAAGAACCUAAGCUUCAUUUUUUUGGAGCAGCACUGGAAGUUAAAUUAUUCUUAAAAGCACAAAAAAAAACAAAUAUAAGAAACUAUUGUAGAUUGGAUAGAGUCAUGUAGUUAUCUCCCUGCAUAGGUAGUGCAGUGUAUAUAAAAUAGAUCCUCAAACAUCACAUGUGGGUUUAGUACAUUUUAGAGCUAAAUCAAUAGGAUCUCUUUACCAUUAUUUCGUAAGCGCAAAACUCUCUUUCCAAUUUAAACAUUUUAAAACUUUAAACAUGUUUUGAAAUAGUUUCUACUUUCUACCUCUUUACAAAUUUUUUCUAAAAAGAUCAAUGAAUGAGAUUCUUUUGUGCUUAUUCAGGCUGCACUGGUGAAUUUAAUAGAGGCAAUCUCAAUGGCUAGUUCAGUUUUAAAGUUCCUACCAAUAUUUGCUUCCCUUGUGUUUAUAUAUGUUCUCAAGUCUUAACAAUUUAAGAGGUUGUGGGAUGUCUGCCGUGUCUGCGCUUGCCAAAGAAGACUACAGCUUUUGUUCCAUAUAUUGAUGUUUUCUUUGCAGUUUAUUAUGGAAUCCAGCCUUCGUUUAAAUACACUUAUGUUUUCUUGCAGUUUAACAUUGGAAAUUCUGAACAUAUUGAUAAUGGAAUAGAUAGUGAAAAUCAAUUCAUAAAUUGAUUGCAUGUGAUGUAUUGUGAGAUAUAAUGCUAAAUCUGAUUUCUGUAUGGAUUUAAAGUUUAGGUUGAAAUGAUUUUAUGUGUUGUCUAAUGAUAGGAGAUUGUGGAUUGUCUGGGAUGCUUUGUAUUCAUCAGAUCUAUUUACUAGAGCCAUUGGAAUUACAGGAACAUACCUUGAUCACUUGAUGCUCCUGUCAUCUCAAUGGUUCUAGUAAAUGGAGGUGAAGGAAUAGGAACAGGUUGGAGCACAUAUGUGCCGAACUACAAUCCAAGAGAUAUUGCUGCUAAUAUAAGACAGUUGCUUAAAGGGGAUACAAGGCAGCCAAUGGAUCCAUGGUACAAAGGAUUUAGUGGAACUAUUGAGAAAUCUGCAACAAAGAAAGCUGGAGCAGGCUACACUGUCAGUUGGCUGAAUUAAAUAAUAGACUGCACGCAGGGUUUAUUAUGCUAGUGUAAUGUAGUCAUCAAUCUAUCGUUCAACAUAUUACCAACAAAACAAUUCUUUAAUAUUUAAUUCAAUGAUCAUAAUCUUUUUAUUUA